rnacentral:tRNA from 1 species
GCGUCCUUAGCUCAGCCGGUAGAGCAAAUGACUCUUAAUCAUUAGGUCGGGGGUUCGAUCCCCCCAGGACGCA